rnacentral:rRNA from 1 species
AUUGAACGCUGGCGGCAGGCUUAACACAUGCAAGUCGAACGAGUGGCGGACGGGUGAGUAAUGCUUGGGAAUCUGGCUUAUGGAGGGGGAUAACGACGGGAAACUGUCGCUAAUACCGCGUACCAUAGGAUGAGCCCAAGUGGGAUUAGGUAGUUGGUGGGGUAAGGGCCUACCAAGCCGACGAUCUCUAGCUGGUCUGAGAGGAUGACCAGCAACACCGGGAUCUGGAUACGGCCCGGCCUCAGGCGGAAGGCACCGGCGGGGAAUAUUGCCAAAUGUGGGCAGCCCGGACGCAGCAAUCCCGCAGUAGCGAAGAAGGCUUGCGGGCGGUAAAGUUUUUUCGGUGACGAGGCGUUAAGCACUGAAGAAGCACCGGCUAACUACGUGCCAGCAUCCGCGGUAGUUC